GUGCUUACCAUGGCUAAAUAUUUACUCCUUUAACUUUUAUUACAACUCUGUGAGGGGAUUGCUGUUAUGACCAUCUCAGAGAAGGUAUAGUUGCCAGUUCCCAGAGGUGCGCUGGUGAUUCUUACCUCCUGGUACUCACAACCCUGUGUGCUUCCCUUCUCUAUUGAGUCAGGGCUGCCCUCAGUCCCUGAGACAUGCCUAUGGAGGACAUGCUUCUGCAGCUCAGGCUUGGCGCCCCUUUGCACAAGCUGGUGACAUGGACCUCUUUGCUAUAGGUAACAGAUACAGAGAUGCUCUUACCUCCCUGUGAAGUCCUGAGCCAGCUAUGCCUGCCCCUCUGGACUGUCCUCUGGGGGCUGAAGAAGGACAGGCAUGAUUCUGCUAAUGAAGGAGAAAGUGCAGUAAGCAAAUACUUCUGUUCUCUUCAAUGGACUAAUUACCAUGAGAAAAAAAAAAGGCAGAGAAGAAAAUUCAAACCCAGGAAAAAUGACCCAAAGAGACAUCUAGCUAGGCUAUGCUAUGCCCAGAAAAACUCAGCCAAGAGCAGCUCCUGUGGAUAUGGAAACAAAGUCGCUGCACCACCCAGAGGGAUGGCUGGGCUAAGUAGACAGGAAGCACGUGGCUGCAAAAGCGAUGAGCUCUUGGUGCCGUCUCUUCCUGCUCCAGGGUUUCAUGUAUCUGUGACUCUAAGCCUGGUGUGUGGACCGGCAAACAGUCAAACAAGGCUGAGAGGCUGCCAGUCCAGCUCAGGCCACACAGGCUGCCAGAAAAGAUGCCAAUGAAAGACCAAUUGUGUAGCCAGAGUGUUUUCUUCGGACAUGGCCCAGGGAACUGGAGGAUACCUAGUCCAGAAGCGAGGUCACUAGCCCCAUCCUACGGCAACACCUUUUGCUCGCUACUGACCCCUACUGGAGAAGCAGCUGAAAGAAACUAAACCCGAACAAGUCUACUGUGUUCUUAAAUCCAACAUUUGCUGUUGGAGGAUCAGUCCUCCCUAAACCUUAGGCCACAGAUGCAAAGGAUCGAACCUUGGGAAUUCCCUUUCCUCCAAGGGGACCCAAAACCUUUCACACUGGAGUUCUCUUUUGCUCAACUCUCCCUAACGUUGUGUCCUGUGGGAAAUCAGGAGCCUUUAAAGCCACCUUGUCCAACCUACCUCCCGUGGGUCACCUGUGGCCCAAGAUGCUUUGAAUGCGGCCCAACACAAAUUCAUAAACUUUCUUAAAACAUUAUGAGAUUUUUUUUUUGCAAUUUUUUUUCUCAUCAACUGUCAUUAGUGUUAGCGUAUUUUAUGUGUGGUCCAAGACAAGUUUUCUUCCAAUGUGGCCCGGGAAAGCCAAAAACUGGACACCCCUGCUUUGAGGAGAAUGAAAUGAACAUAUAGCUACAUGUUAGCAGCAGAACAAAGGGUGGAUUAGGAGCAAGACUCAGGUCAGCAGGGGUCCUUGAUUAUUUCUUGAUGUCCUACUGGCUGCUGACUCCAGCAGAAAGACCAGUUAGGAGGCUGUGGCAAUAACCCAACAGAAAUCUAGAGGACUGAAAGAGGGCAAGUGGAUGGAGAGAAGAGGGUGUGUGCGGGGAAUGGAAUAUUUGGGAGGAAGCUGAACUGGCCUGGGGUCAGGCAGGAGAGAAAGCAGAGUCUAGCCCACCUACCUGUCUACACCCUUCUUUCCCCUGCAGGGUGGGUUUUUGCUGACAGCCUUCUAGCAAAACGAGAUUUUAAGCAGAAGAACAGGUGUGGAACAUGGAAAAGAGAAUACAUUUUGGUUUGAAUACGGUUUG
rnacentral:lncRNA from 13 species